rnacentral:rRNA from 1 species
UGCUUAACACAUGCAAGUCGAACGGAAAGGCUCCAGCUUGCUGGGGUGCUCGAGUGGCGAACGGGUGAGUAACACGUAAGUGAUCUGCCCUGCACUGGGGGAUAAGCUUGGGAAACUGGGUCUAAUACCCUAUAGGACCGCAUCGUGGUUGGUGUGGUGGAAAGGUUUUUCUGGUGUGGGAUGAGCUUGCGGCCUAUCAGCUUGUUGGUGGGGUAAUGGCCUACCAAGGCGGCGACGGGUAGCCGGCCUGAGAGGGUGUGCGGCCACAUUGGGACUGAGAUACGGCCCAGACUCCUACGGGAGGCAGCAGUGGGGAAUUUUGCACAAUGGGCGGAAGCCUGAUGCAGCGACGCCGUGUGGGGGAUGAAGGCCUUCGGGUUGUAAACUCCUUUCGUCAGGGACGAAGUUUUUUUGACGGUACCUGGAUAAGAAGCACCGGCUAACUACGUGCCAGCAGCCGCGGUAAUACGUAGGGUGCGAGCGUUGUCCGGAUUUACUGGGCGUAAAGGGCUCGUAGGUGGUGUGUCGCGUCGUCUGUGUAAUCCAGGGGCUUAACUUUUGGUUGGCAGGCGAUACGGGCAUUGCUUGAGUGCUGUAGGGGA